ACGCACGCUGGCGGCGUGCUUCACCCAUGCAAGUCGAACGGAAAGGCCCUGCUUUUGUGGGGUGCUCGAGUGGCGAACGGGUGAGUAACACGUGAGUAACCUGCCCUUGACUUUGGGAUAACUUCAGGAAACUGGGGCUAAUACCGGAUAGGAGCUCCUGCUGCAUGGUGGGGGUUGGAAAGUUUCGGCGGUUGGGGAUGGACUCGCGGCUUAUCAGCUUGUUGGUGGGGUAGUGGCUUACCAAGGCUUUGACGGGUAGCCGGCCUGAGAGGGUGACCGGCCACAUUGGGACUGAGAUACGGCCCAGACUCCUACGGGAGGCAGCAGUGGGGAAUAUUGCACAAUGGGCGGAAGCCUGAUGCAGCAACGCCGCGUGCGGGAUGACGGCCUUCGGGUUGUAAACCGCUUUCGCUUGUGACGAAGCGUGAGUGACGGUAAUGGGCAAAGAAGCACCGGCUAACUACGUG
rnacentral:rRNA from 1 species